CGGACGGGUGAGUAACGCGUGGAAAACCUGCCGUAUACUGGGGGAUAACACGUUAGAAAUAGGUGCUAAUACCGCAUAAGCGCACAGCUUCGCAUGAAGUGGUGUGAAAAACUCCGGUGGUAUACGAUGGUUCCGCGUCUGAUUAGCUUGUUGGUGGGGUAAUGGCUCACCAAGGCGACGAUCAGUAGCCGGCCUGAGAGGGUGAACGGCCACAUUGGGACUGAGACACGGCCCAAACUCCUACGGAAGGCAGCAG
rnacentral:rRNA from 1 species